rnacentral:misc_RNA from 1 species
AACCAUAGAAACCUGCGGAGUACCUGCGGAAGGAUCAUUAUUGAAUUUAAACAAAGGGUAUUUAGGUUGUAGCUGGCUCCAUUAGUUUGGAGCAUGUGCACACCUUUUGCUCUUUUUUUAAUCCACACACACCUGUGAACCUGUGAGGCAGAGACAUGGAUGGGAGAACUUUUAUUUACUUUAAAAUGAAUGAUUGGGACCCCUACCCCCCUCUGUCUACUCAACUCUAAUAUAAACCCA